UAAGGAAUAUUGGUCAAUGGACGCAAGUCUGAACCAGCCAUGCCGCGUGGAUGAUGAAGGUCCUCUGGAUUGUAAACUUCUUUUAUCUGGGACGAAACACUUCUUUUCUAAGAGGCCUGACGUUACCAGAUGAAUAAGCACCGGCUAACUCCGUUCCAGCAGCCGCGGUAAUACGGUGGGUGCAGGCGUUAUCCGGAUUUACUGGGCUUAAAGGAUGAGUAGGCGGAUACUUAAGUCAGAUGUGAAAAUCCCGGGCUUAACUUGGGAACUGCAUUUGAAACUGGGUAUCUAGAGUGCGGUAGAGGAAAGUGGAAUUCCUAGUGUAGCGGUGAAAUGCGUAGAGAUUAGGAAGAACACCAGUGGCGAAGGCGACUAUCUGGACCGUAACUGACGCUGAGGCAUGAAAGCGUGGGGAGCAAACA
rnacentral:rRNA from 1 species